GUGGGGAAUAUUGCACAAUGGGCGAAAGCCUGAUGCAGCAACGCCGCGUGAGGGACGACGGCCUUCGGGUUGUAAACCUCUUUUAGUAGGGAAGAAGCGAAAGUGACGGUACCUGCAGAAAAAGCACCGGCUAACUACGUGCCAGCAGCCGCGGUAAUACGUAGGGUGCAAGCGUUAUCCGGAAUUAUUGGGCGUAAAGAGCUCGUAGGCGGUCUGUCGCGUCUCCUGUGAAAACUGGAGGCUCAACCUCCAGCCUGCAGUGGGUACGGGCAGACUAGAGUGCGGUAGGGGAGAUUGGAAUUCCUGGGGUAGCGGUGGAAUGCGCAGAUAUCAGGAGCAACACCGAUGGCGAAGGCAGAUCUCUGGGCCGUAACUGACGCUGAGGAGCGAAAGCGUGGGGAGCGAACAGGAUUAGAAACCCUGGUAGUCC
rnacentral:rRNA from 1 species